UCUAUAAUAGAUAUCGAAGAUGAGCUUCACAGCUUUUUAGAUGCUCAAAAAGCUGCAAAUGAAGGGCGUACAGAGAUGUUAGAAACACAGAGGCGUGUGUCUAGUGAGAAGCUUGAAUCUCGGAGGCUUGCUCACCUUGCAGCAAAAGAAAACAAGGAGGCAGUUAUGCUAGAAACAUAUCGAUCGUUACUGACACAAGACACAACUGGAAUGGAUGAAGAUGUGAAAGCCGAGCAUGUGUUGGCAUUGAGGUGCCUGAGGGAGAGCUUAUUUAAAAAAAAUGACUAAGGAAUCAAGACUGGGCAUGGUGUACUGAUUACUGAAUGCUGCAUAUGCUACUUGCAGUGUUGUCACUUGAUGCAAAUGUGUGGCUGCUCCAUUCUACCGAAGUUGCUUCUAUCUCCGUCGUCUAGAUCAUCAAUAAAUAAUGGCAUGUGUGCCAGUGAACUUAUUUACUAGUGUUUUUAAUUAAUGGCCUGUGUGCCAGUGAACUUAUUUACUAAUGUUUUUAGUUAAUGGUUUGUAUGCAAAUGAACUUAUU